AGUGUCUUCUGCUAUAGCCUCGGGCCGACCAAAGCCUUGACAUGGAGGCUCUCUAUUUGAGCUGCCCUCAUCGGCGAAACACACUCGUUGAAACAGUCACCGAAUCGAGGCAGGGUCGUUGAGAAACUCUCCACGAUGAAGAAUCAGACUCAACUACGAACCAGGCUCGUUAUGACACUCUCACAGUGGCAACAUGCUCUACUUUGAUUAUGAAGUCAGAAAUACGAUGUGUCAAUAAAUAGAUAAAUAAAUACUAAGAAAUAAAAGACAGAAUUAUUAUGGAUUAAA
rnacentral:lncRNA from 1 species